GGGGUCAUCUGCUGCGAGCCACCCUUUACUGAUGUUUCGCUCCUUUAAUCCCAGAACAUCUCAAGGUGGUGGAGCAGCAGCAGGGACGUCUUCCUGCUGCCCCCCGCAGCUGGUCCUAGGAUCCCUGUUUACCCCAUGUUCUGUCCCUUCUGUGGAGCCAAAGCCAGAAACUCCCACUUUCUGCCUCCUCUGCCAGAUCUCUGAGUGCCCUCUUUUGUUUGCGGCUGGUGGCUUCAGGAGCCGCUGGGUAGAUGCUCUGAUGUAGCUUCUACAGCCGAUUUCUACCAGGAUGGUAAGAACCCUCCACCCAACUUGAGAGCAUGCAGCUGCCAGCUCUGUGGACCUCUCCUUCUUCCUCUCAAAGGCAGCCUCCAGCCCCUUCUCCCAUGGAACAGUUAGUUCAACCAUAAUGACUGUCUUAACAGGGGUGAACCAGAGGACAAUGUCAGACCGUAAGGAGGUUGCGGUGAUCUCUACCGGGAACCUCAGCUGGCGGUCAAGGUCAGCUGCCAUUCUCCACUCCCCUCCCAGUGACAGGAGAGACCACUCCUUCAGGCUGCUGCUUUGGCCCUCUCCCCCUUGCCUGACGAAGUGGAUCCACUGCUGGGAUGUUGUUGAAUGGGCCCUGUUUGCCUCCAGUCUGCGUGUCUCCGGGACUUCUGCAAGCUUGCACAGGACUUGGUUGUGGAGUCAUCUGUAGCAGCCCUGGAUCAAUGCUGCCUUGCACCCAGAGAGGAUGUGCUGGAGGCUUGGAUUCUGGGAGGAACAGAGAUGACAGUUCUCCUCCAAUCUGUACCAAAAGUGUAGGCUCUGGGGGCUGGGAAGGAUGUCAUACAUGGCCCUUAUGAGGAAGCUAAGCCUUGCUUGGGACAUCUUCCACAUAUCAGCCUAUGUGAUGUUUCUGUUGAUAGAAUCCCAGAUUGUCCAUCUGCCUUGCUGGUGUAGACACACGGCUCUGAUCUUGUAGCUCUCCUCCUCCAUCUUCCACACUUUACUGAUCACCAGGUCUUUCCUUUUCUUUGUGCAUGCUUUGGACCACAUUUUGGGUGCAGAUCACCAUACAAGACCUGUUCUUCCUGUCUGUGAAAACCCAACAAUCUCCAGAUGCUUUAGCCAGUUGAUGGUUCCAAGAUGUUCCUCCCAAACAGUGCUACGUUGGAAAGGCCACGUGGGAGGCCAAGCCAUAUCUUGAUGUAGCUGUUUGCUUUCCUGUCCAUUUUCAGGACUGUUGAUGAGGUAAUGUCAGAUAUAUCAGCCAUGUAGGGUCUUCUUUGGACAGGUUGGUGCACAAGGAGGGGAACUUUCUCACAGCUCAAUGAGAUGCAGAUGUAAUCAUUCCUAACUCCCUUACGGAUCGAAAGGCUUCGGGACUUAGCUGGCUUUAUCCUUAUCCAAGCCCAUGCUAGCAGCUCCUCCAGCCUUUUAAGUAGUCUGGAUGUGCACGCAGCUGUCUGGAGGAGCAUGGUGACAUUGUCCAUGUAACUUCUUAUGGCUAUAACACAAACAGAACAUACCUGUUACUAGGGGUGUAAUGGUACAUGUAUUCGUUCCAAACCGUCACGGUGCGGACGUCACGGUUCGGUUCAUGCAGUAUGACAAUGAAUACAGGCGAUCCACACUCCAAUCCAGAAGGGGGCGUGCUUUUUAGCCUAACCUAUUUUUUUAACCAGCAUUAACCACCAAUAAUCACAAUAAGCUCUGUGCUUUGUUACUUUCACAAAGUGCCAUCUUUCAAACUCUAUGCUGUUCUCAGCUUCAGUUUCACAAUUUAGCGACCCCUAGUGGUGACAUGCCUAUAUUUAAGCAGAGCAUGUGCUGUUCAGCCAUUUUGUGUGAGAUGUUUGAGAGUGCACACAGACGAUACCAAUCUCCAUCCACACUUCAUUUACUCUUGGAAAAGGCAUUGUCUUGAUUGAAAUUCCAGAAUCUGCUCCAGAGAGUGAAAUCCCAGAGUCCAUUCCAGUGAGAAAAAUUCCCCAUCCGUUCCAAUGAGAGAAAGUCCCAAGUCCGUUCCAGUGAGAGAAAUUCCCCAGUCCGUUCCAGUGUGCGAAAUUCCAGGCCUGCCCUUCCUGUCUGCCCUGGUGGGAUCGAAGAGGUGGUCCUUACAUUUAUGUUGCUGCUGUUAUGUGUGUUUGCGUCACUCACACAGCCACUCCAGCCCUUGACCAGAGUCCAGUGAUGGCUCCAGCCCCUGAGUCUGCUCCAGACUCCACUUUAGCCCCUGAGACCAGCCCAGAGAGUGCAGCACUGACCAUCAUAACUACGGCUAUUUUGUGUGUGUGGGCUGCACACACAGCCAGAGUUCCUCCGAAAUUUUUUUUUGGUAAGCCAAGGAGGCUGUCCCAGAGCUGUCUUCUCUCCCUGGGUGCUUCUCAAAUGGAAGGCUGCAUCCUACAAAGGCUGCAUAUGUCGGCUGCCACGUCAUCAAAUGUCGCUGAAGGCCGUCUCAAUCAGAAGUAUCCUUGAAAGGCAGCUUUUGUUUCGCAUCCUCCGUUUAGCUGAAUUUGAAAGAUGCAUGGGAUGUAUCCUUCGCGACCUUCAAUCACCCACAAUCCUUUGUACACCUUUCAAUUCACGAAAACAAUUGACAGAAAACGAGUCGGUAUUGAGCUUGUCUGAAUUUAUUAUGAAAUGUAAGACAAAAAUAAUGUUUUCAGACAUGAAAGCAUAGAUGUUAUCUUUUGUUUUGGUGUAAAUUACUCACUUAACAAUAAACCGCCAUUAAUGUAAGCCACUGGGAGACUAUAGACGGCUGUGAUUCAUUGUAUUGCAUUAAUAGAAAGCCAGAUAAUAUAAAGAUUUGUAAUAAAGUAUUUUUCCAAAAUUAAGUUUAGUAUUUAUUUAGCAAUUAAUUAACUAUUUAGCAAUAUAAAAAAAACAACAUUUAACAAUUUUAUAAUUAAUUCAAAGAAGAAUUUGCACAAACAUAAACAUAACUUGUAAUUGUCACAAUUGUGUUGCUGCAGCAGGGAUUAGGCAGAAACGGACUUCUACAAAUGGUGUAUUUAUUAAACAAGGAAUCAGAACAGCUCAUACACAUUAAACAAAGGUUAACAACAAGAACGGACCAGGAGUGCAAGGAGUGAGUCCAACAUAAAGGGAGUGCUAACGAUGAUGAACAGGUGCAGGGAAUGCAGGAAGAGCGGGAAAGCAGAUGAGGGAAGUGAGUUCAGGUGAGGAACAGGGAGGAUCAUGGGAAACGGAGUUCAGGACAGGCGUGACUGUAACAGUAAUCAAUACAUCACACUCUCCCCUACAGGAAAAACACAAAAGUCCAUUUCAACUCACACAAACACUUUUAAGGAAAAAUUGCAAAAAGAAUGAUUCGAAUUCUCUGCUAAAAUGUUUCAAAAAACUUUUCCAAAGUGUUCACUCAAUUUUUUUUUAUAUGCCUUUCAAAUGUCCCGUUGGCCUAGAAACAGUCCAGUUUGUGUAUGUGUAUGCAAAACUCUACUGUUUUGUUCUUUCACAGUCCGUCAGAAUAAUUAGCGUGUAUGUGUGUGCAACAGUUCAUAGUCUUUCACCAGUUCUUUCACAGACCAUAGGAACAAUUAGUAUGUGUUAUUGCAAUUUCAGUUUCAGUUCAUGCUUAAAAACAAACAGAAGGUGGUCUCAGGUUGGGAAACACCACUGGCACCCAAGGCAUUACAGUAGGUGUCCACAUGUUAGAAAACCUUGGAUCACAUUCAGGAUCAGUUACUUGGACUUUGUAACAGGUACGUGCGCCUAGACUAGCAUACGUGCAUCAUACGUAGGGCCCUAUCAUACACCAGGCGCAAUGCCAGGCAGGCCAGGCGUGACGCAAGUGUUUUUUUUUUAGUUUCAGCCCAAUGCAGUUAUCAUUUUCACGUCCUGCGCCAUGCUGUUUAAAUAGCAAAUGUAUUUGCACCUAUUUUUGCACUCAUGGGUGUGCUGGUCUGAAAACGAGGUGUGUUCGGGUGCAUUGUUGGCUCGUUACUAUUUUGAGGCAACUGAAAUAGACUGCAAUAUUUGAUUUGUUAUUUAAAAAGCGCGUUAGUAAUAUGCACCUAUAUGCGGGUGCACAAAGCACGUACACUCUGCUUAUUACACACGCAGGGACGCGCAGCAGCACACAAACAUGCUAAAUAUUAAAAAUAAAAGGAUUACAAUGUAAAAGAUUAUUAUUGUGUGCAAGAUAAAAAUGCUUUGGUGGAAUCCGGCUUGUCCCGUAGAUGGUCUGCUCACGUGCUAUAACCUCGCGCACGAGCAGAUCCGUUUUCUCACUAGAGAAGCAUUUAGUUUUUUUGCUUGCAAAUUCCGCCAUGUAAAUAUCAAAUCCGUCAUGGCGCGAGUGCAACUGGCUUUUAAAGGAAAUUAGAGAGAUGAGACUCUGAUUGGUUCAUUGCACGUUACGCCCAAAACACACCCAUGACUCAUUAAGAGAAUAGGGACAACCCUUUUAGACCAUGCGCCGGGCGCGCCAAUCAUUUUUCCCAUCCUUAAAUUAGCAAAAGUGGAUUUGGACACAUGACGCAUUUGCGCCAUGCACUUUAGACCAUGCGCUUAGAUCGUUAAAAAAGGCCCCGUGAACUUUUUUGGUGGUCGUCGUUGCCUCACUGAAUGAUGAUAUUAAAUCUCCCCAGGUCUGUCACUUGACUCCACUGUUUCGACUGGCUCCUUCACAGUAAGCAUUCACGUGCACUCACUGGAUUGUUUUCCAUUUGCCUUUCAAGCAGUUCAGAUCUGUUCUCCUACACAGGUACAUUAGCAGGUAUUGGAAGAUCUUGUCCAGCCUCAGCUGAAGGUAACUGCUCUAGUUCAAGCUGUAGUAAUGCAGAUAUCUGAUGCAUUCUGAUGAGCAGGCAACUCAGGGGGAGCAGGUUGUAUUGAUGCUUUCUUCAAAAACUGUGCUUCUCUGCUCUAUUCUUUUGACUAGCCCCAACUCAGCAGCUGUCUCUCAGCUUAGAACGUUACUGACAGUUCCUCCCGCUACCACAUACACGGUAAUAGCAUACUUUUUACAUUUAUCUGUCUAGUAUUAUGUUUGAGUAAAGGAGCCGAGCUCUUGGGUGAAGCUUUUCAUAUGUCAGUGUUCAUUAUGCUAAUGUCAUUCAAACACGCAUGCAUAUAGACUACACACGUAUAUGCAUGCUGUCACCAUUUUCACAGAUUCACGUUUUUGAGGUUUACAUGGAAAAAAAACUUGCACUUGCAGUUUUAAAAAAACUUGCACUUUGAAACCUAUUUCAAAGUUUGUGUUCUAAGACCACCAUAACGUCAUUGUCGUGUAAAUUAAUGGCCAGAACGCCAUUAAAAGUUUUCUGUUUUCAGUUGGAAAAGGUGUCGUGUACGUGGCCCCUAAGUUAAUAACUUAUGAUUUUUACAAAUCAUAAUCAAAUCAAUCAAAAACUUACUUAAGCUGGACAAUAACUUUUUUCUAGAGCUGCUGUACAGCCAAAACAACCUUUGUUGCAUUAAUUUCCUAUUGUCACUGUAAAGCUGCUUUGAAACAAUCUCUGUUGUGUGUGUCCUGUUUUACCACACCUGCCACAUACAUUCUCUGUAUCCUUUCUUCUUUCUCACUGCCUCUUUUGUGUGUCUCUUUCAUCCAGGGGGCUACCUCUUACACGCUGCUCAUUGACUGACCCUCCUGCUGGCUGAUCUGCUGCGCAACAUCAUCAGUCUGCCACGUCAUCUGCAUCGCCAUUUCCAGGGUAAGUGCUGUCAUUAGCUGCAUUCUUUAUAAAGCUCUUUAUCCUGAAUUCCGACUACAAGUCUGUCUCUUAUAUGUUCGUUUCGACUUGCACUAAAUUCACAGUUCCUAGAGGGCUCUGAUGUAGCACUUAGCCUUUUCUUCGGGCUUCUGCACUCUCUGGUGGAAACAUGCCUGCUCAUGUAUCAUGUUCUCUUUCGGCAAAAAAUAUUAAUCAAAUUUUCCAAGCAACGUCAAGCACUUUCCUUUGCCGAGAAGGUGAGCGAUUCGAAAAUGUUCUGUUUCAGUGCCCAUAGAAUGUAAUAAAGUGCUAAUCUGUACCUCUUUAUCUUCUUUGCUCAGUUUUGUUGCAGACCUGUAGUGCACAAACCUGGCCACUCUGCUGGACGAUCAAAGUUCAAACUUUCUGGCGGAUUCAAUUUCGACAUAUUGCUCUUCUCUUGUUUUUACACUUCCGACACCAUGUCUAGUAUACAUUUACAAGGAGGCAUUAAUCAUCUCUUGAGAUUUAUUGAAGAGCCCCAGAGACCAGUUAGUAUUCAGUAUUCUGUAUUCAGUUAGUUUACAUCAGGAACACUCUUACUCACUUCUGUGUGUAACUUGUCCAUACAGUACUCCUUAAGUCCCCCUAGUGGGCUGGAUAGUACAACACAUCCUUCAGGUAAUUUACAUUACCCUGACACAUUUUACCCAAUCCAUCCUAAUGUUUAUUUUGGUCAAGAGAUAUGUGUGAUCGAGACCUAAUCAGAUUAUACCCCUGAUAAAAGACCCCCACAUUUUUAAGCCUCCCAGUAGUAGGCUUUCAACUAAAUGAAAAGGACAAGCAGAAACAUAAUGAUCACAAGAUCACAAGUUUAUUUAUCAAAAAGACACUAUUAAAACAUUGAGCUCAACAUUCGUAAGAAAAGACACUUUACGCUUAAAAGUCAACCACUUGGCUUAAACCAAGCUAGCAUUCAGUGGCACUGGUAGCAGAGGUGGCCAAAAUACCUUGCUUAUGGGGCCCCCAAAAGACGAGUCUUCAAUUACUAUACAAUGUGCUUCAAUGCUACAACCAGCCCAUUGGCUUUGGUUUAGUCAGACCAAAUGAACCGGCCACCCCUAUACGCAAAAAAAAAAAAAAAAAGAUAAUAAUAACAACAGUAACAAUAAUAACAAUAACGACAAUAAUGAAUAACAAUACAAAAAAAGAAGCAACAGAUCACAAAAAAAAAAAAAAGAAAUAGCACACCCACAAAAAAAAAAAAAAAAAAAAGAAUUACUACAGGUGGAUAGUUUCUUUGAUGUUAUAUCGUUACACCAAACAUUUCAUACAGCUCAAAUCAUGAACCAAGAGUGAAAAAAAGUAAUACAUUUAAACAAUCCAAACCGACCAAAAAACAACAAAAUUAUACGUUAACUACUUUAAACCAACACAACAUAAUACACCAUAAGAAAGGAGAAAAAAAAAGAAACUCAAAAAAAAAGAAUCACCCAAAAUAAACCAUAAAUUCUCAGUUUCUUAACUGAGCAAUAUCAAUGUAUAGUAAGACAAAGAAAUAAUACCCAACAAACCCCAAUAACAAAAUUCAAACAAACACCUAAACCAAAUCAACUAACAAUGAAACCAAAUAAUACAAAUAAGAAUAAUACAAUAAACAAACCAAGCAACAACAACAACAACAACAACAAAAAAUAAAUAAACUUCAAUCCCACUCAAAUACACACACACACACACACACACACACACACACACACGCACACACACUUUAACAAGACACACACAAAAAACAAACAACACAAAUCAACAAUGUACUGGCUCAAACGACCACCAGCUGGCAGCGGAACAAAAGGCCACAGUCUUGCAUCUCCAAGGCAAGCGAUGUACAGACAAUAACAGACUGAAGGCGUUCAAAGCAACAGUGCGCAAGCAACACUCCGACGUCCCAAAACUGGAGCAGGCAAAUUUGAAAUGAGCUCAUUUUGUGCAUAAAAAAAAUGUAAAAUUUCUCCAUUUAAACAUUUGUGUUAUCUAUGUUCUAUUGUGAAUAAAACAUUGGCUCAUGUGA